UACAGAGGUCUCAAGCGUUUGUUCGGAUUCAUUGGGCGUAAAGGGUGUGUAGGUGGCGCGCUAAGUCGGGUGUGAAAUUUCGGAGCUUAACUCCGAAACUGCAUUUGAUACUGGCGUGCUUGAGUCCGGGAGAGGUGAGUGGAACUGCGAGUGUAGAGGUGAAAUUCGUAGAUAUUCGCAAGAACACCAGUGGCGAAGGCGGCUCACUGGCCCGGUACUGACGCUGAGGUGGCGAAAGCGUGGGGGAGCAAACAGG
rnacentral:rRNA from 1 species